UAUAAGCAGUUGCAACUGUGAAACGAUGGAGCCCUUCGUCUUAUUUGAAUUUUUUUUGCAGUUAAUAUUUUUAUUCUUACUAGAUGAUAAAACAUGAAUAGUACUUUAUGCGUAACUAAUUUUUUUAAAUUUUUGUAUAUAUUUUUCAAAUAAGACGAAUGAUCAAACGUUGGAUACGGAAAA
rnacentral:pre_miRNA from 1 species